GACGAACGCUGGCGGCGCGCUUAACACAUGCAAGUCGAACGGAAAGGCCCUGCUUUUGUGGGGUGCUCGAGUGGCGAACGGGUGAGUAACACGUGAGUAACCUGCCCUUGCCUCUGGGAUAACUUCAGGAAACCGGGGCUAAUACCGGAUAGGAGCUCCUGCUGCACGGUGGGGGUCGGAAAGUUUCGGCGGUUGGGGAUGGACUCGCGGCUUAGCAGCUUGUUGGUGGGGUAGUGGCUUACCAAGGCUUUGACGGGUAGCCGGCCUGAGAGGGUGACCGGCCACAUUGGGAAUGAGAUACCGCCCAGACUCCUACGGGAGGCAGCAGUGGGGAAUAUUGCACUGUGGGAGGAAGCCUGAGGCAGCGACGCCGCGUGCGGGGUGACGGCCUUCGGGUUGUAAACCGCUUUCGCCUGUGACGAAGCGUGAGUGACGGUAAUGGGUGAAGAAGCACCGGCUAACUACGUG
rnacentral:rRNA from 1 species